rnacentral:rRNA from 1 species
AUACGGAGGGUGCAAGCGUUAUUCGGAAUCACUGGGCGUAAAGGACGCGUAGGCGGGUUGGCAAGUCAGAUGUGAAAUCCUACAGCUUAACUGUAGAACUGCAUUUGAAACUGCUAACCUAGAGUAUGGGAGGGGGAGAUGGAAUUAGUGGUGUAGGGGUAAAAUCCGUAGAUAUCACUAGGAAUACCGAAAGCGAAGGCGAUCCCCUGGAACAUAACUGACGCUAAGGCGUGAAAGCGUGGGGAGCAAACAGGAUUAGAAACCCUAGUAGUCC